rnacentral:rRNA from 1 species
AUUGAACGCUGGCGGCAGGCUUAACACAUGCAAGUCGAGCGGAGAUGAGGUGCUUGCACCUUAUCUUAGCGGCGGACGGGUGAGUAAUGCUUAGGAAUCUGCCUAUUAGUGGGGGACAACAUUCCGAAAGGAAUGCUAAUACCGCAUACGCCCUACGGGGGAAAGCAGGGGAUCUUCGGACCUUGCGCUAAUGGAUGAGCCUAAGUCGGAUUAGCUAGUUGGUGGGGUAAAGGCCUACCAAGGCGACGAUCUGUAGCGGGUCUGAGAGGAUGAGCCGCCACACUGGGACUGAGAAACGGCCCAGACUCCUACGGGAGGCAGCAGUGGGGAAUAUUGGACAAUGGGCGGAAGCCUGAUCCAGCCAUGCCGCGUGUGUGAAGAAGGCCUUUUGGUUGUAAAGCACUUUAAGCGAGGAGGAGGCUACCUGGAUUAAUACUCUAGGAUAGUGGACGUUACUCGCAGAAUAAGCACCGGCUAACUCUGUGCCAGCCGCCGCCGUAAUAC